rnacentral:rRNA from 1 species
AAAGUUAGCGGCGGACGGGUGAGUAACACGUGGGCAACCUGCCUGUAAGACUGGGAUAACUUCGGGAAACCGGAGCUAAUACCGGAUAACCCUUUUCCUCACAUGUGGAAAAGUUGAAAGAUGGCUUCGGCUAUCACUUACAGAUGGGCCCGCGGCGCAUUAGCUAGUUGGUGAGGUAACGGCUCACCAAGGCGACGAUGCGUAGCCGACCUGAGAGGGUGAUCGGCCACACUGGGACUGAGACACGGCCCAGACUCCUACGGGAGGCAGCAGUAGGGAAUCUUCCGCAA